CUCUCUUUACCUAGACCAAAGGAGGGCCUGGAUGUGCAGUAAAAUUUGUCAAAAAAGAAAAAAAAAUGUCAGAAGCUUGGAUUUAUUCAUCUUGCUUUCUUCUUUCUUUUCUUUUCUUUUUUUUUUUUUUUGAGAUGGAGUCUUCCUCUGUCACCCAGGCUGGAGUGCAGUGGCGCGAUCUUGGCUCACUGCAAGCUCCGCCUCCCGGAUUCACGCCAUUCUCCUGCCUCAACCUCCCAAGUAGCUGGGACUACAGGCACCCGCCACCACGCACGGCGAAUUUUUUGUAUUUUUAGUAGAGACGGGGUUUCACCAUGUUAGCCAGGAUGGUCUCGAUCUCCUGAGUCUGUGAUCCACCCGCUUCGGCCUCCCAAAGUGCUGGGAUUACAGGCGUAAGCCACCGUGCCUGGCUUUUUUUCUUUUCUUUUCUUUUCUUUUCUUUUUUUUUUUUGGAGAAGGAGCUUCACUCUUGUUGCCCAGGCUGGAGUGCAAUGGCGUGAUCUCGGCUCACUGCAACCUCCACCUCCCGGGUUCAAACAAUUCUCCUGCCUCAGCCUCCCAAGUAGCUGAGAUUACAGGCGUGCACCACCACGCCCAGCUAAUUUUGUACUUUUAGUAGAGACAGGGUUUCCCCAUGUUGGUCAGGCUGGUCUCAAACCCCUGACAUCAGGUGACGCACCUGCCUCGGCCUCCCCGAGUGCUGGGAUUACAGCCACGAGCCACCAUGCCCGGCACCAUCUUUCUUAAGAGCUGUGCUGUAUGUUGUGUCUCGGAUUUGAAGAACCUGACAGCUAUAGGAAGGAUGAUCCGGCCAGGUGCCAUGACCUUGAUGUUAGUCUCCUUUUACAGAUGAAGAAACUGUAAAGUUAAGUAACUGACCACAUUUCACAACAAACAGGUGGCAGAGCCAGACAUGUAAGCUAGGCAGUCUUAGACCACAGCCUGCGUUCUAGAGCUGUGUGAUCCGGUAGCGAAGCCACCGGCCACGCGGGGCUGCUGAACACUUGAAAUGUGGCUGGUUCGGGUUAAAAUAUACUAUUUCCCUCCAUGGAUUACAGUUGACCGUUGAACAACAUGGAGUUGAACUGCAUGAGGCUGCUCGUAUUUUUUUCUGCCUCUGCCACCCCUGAGACAGCAAGAUCAAUCCUUCCUCCUCCUCCUCCUCCUCAGCCGACUCAAAGACCAUGAGGAUGAAGACCUAUACGAUGAUCCACUUCCAUUUAAUGAAUCAUAAAUAUAUUUUCUCUUCCUUAUAGUUUUCUUAAUAACAUUUUCCUUUCUCUACCUUUCUUUACGGGAUGGGAGCAAGGCGUUGCCUGAAAAAAAAAAUUUAUUGCGAGCUUCCUGAGACAGCGUGGCUGUGUGUACGUGAGGAAUCAGAGCUCUUCCCGAGUUCAGAGGAACUGCCAGGGGCUGGAUUUGGCCCAGGUAGGGGCUGAGAGUGGGAGAACUCCAGGGACAGAAAAAAGCAAAAUGCUAGUUUGAGAUCUGAAGACCCAGGCUCUGAUUCCAGCCUCCUCAUUCACCAGCUCUGCAGCACUAGGCAAGCCAGUUUUCUUCUUAGGAACUCAGUUUUUCCAUCUGUAAAAUGGGAAGUUGAGAUUUACAAGCGUUUUCUGUGUUUGAUCCAGAAUUCGAGUCUGAUUCCUUCUGUGCUUCAACUACUACACAAGCCCUGGAGCGCGUCUUGUGUAAAUUCUUCAAAGGUACCCAUGUCCCUAAAGAUGAAGUCCUGAUGUCUCGACACGAAAUCCCAGACCUAGCGUCAUCUGCUCCACUGGCCUGUCCAGACCCAGCUCUGAUUAUUCCUGCCUUCUAUUCUAGCCAGGCUCAAUUGAUUGUCAGUUUCCUAAAAGGAGCCCUCCUCACUCUCACUUCUGAGUCUUUGCCUAUGCUGGGUUUCCUACCAGGAGCACCUCUUCCCUUCUGUCUGCCCUAUUUCUACUCACUAUUCAUGUCUCAACUUCUAGAUCACUUUCCCUAGGAAGCCUUCCUUGACUCUCAGUUCUGGAUGAGAUUCCCGCACCCACAAAUGCAUCCACAGCACCCCGAACAUCUCCCCUCUUAGGACCAUUUUGUAGUGACUUAUUUAUAUAUCUGCCCACUAGAGUGUGAGCUCAAAAGGAGCAGGGACGACCGCUAUUCGACUAAAUGCUGUGUCCCAGAUGCCUCACAAAUGGGAAAUACUUUCAAUUAAUGUUGCUGGAAACACAUGAAGUGACAGGUGACAGGUGACAAAGAACAAUGCGGGGGCCUUUCUAAACACUUUGUAGCUCCAGGAAUUUUGGUCCAUUAACACGCCAUCCUGCAGUGCCCUUCCUGUUUCUCUCAGUAAUACCAAUAAGGGGCUCAGAGGCUGCGCGUGGUGGCUCACGCCUGUAAUCCCAGAGCUUUGGGAGGGCGAGGCGGGCAGAUCAUCUGAGGUCAGGAGUUCGAGACCAGCCUGACCAACAUGGCGAAACCCCAUCUCUACUAAAAAUACAAAAAUUAGCCAGGCAUGGUGGCGGACGCCUAUAAUCCCCACUACUUGGGAGGCUGAGGCAGGAGGAUCGUUUGAACCCAGGAGGCAGAGGUUGCAGUGAGCUGAGAUCGUGCCACUGCACUCCAACCUAGGCAACAGAGUGAGACUCCAUCUCAAAACACAAACAAACAAAAAGAAAAUAAGGGGCUUAGGUUAAGUGACUUGCCUAUUAUUAUAAUACAAUUAGUCUUGGACAAAAACUGGGAUUUGAACCUAAGACUGUUAGUCUCUCAAAGCACAGAC